rnacentral:rRNA from 1 species
GUUACCUUCGGGUAAUGAGGAUGGCGGACGGGUGAGUAACGCGUAAGGAACUUGCCUCUUGGACUGGGACAACUGUUGGAAACGACAGCUAAUACCGGAUAUUAUGAGAUUCUCGCAUGAGAAACUUAUGAAAGCUAUAUGCGCCAAGAGAGAACCUUGCGUUCCAUUAGCUAGUUGGUGGGGUAACGGCCCACCAAGGCGACGAUGGAUAGCCGGCCUGAGAGGGUGAACGGCCACAAGGGGACUGAGACACGGCCCUUACUCCUACGGGAGGCAGCAGUGGGGAAUAUUGGACAAUGGGCCACAAGCCUGAUCCAGCAAUUCUGUGUGCACGAUGAAGGUCUUCGGAUUGUAAAGUGCUUUCAGUUGGGAAGAAGAAAGUGACGGUACCAACAGAAGAAGCGACGGCUAAAUACGUGCCAGCAGCCACGGUAAUACGUAUGUCGCAAGCGUUAUCCGGAUUUAUUGGGCGUAAAGCGCGUCUAGGCGGAAAAAUAAGUCUGAUGUUAAAAUGCGGGGCUCAACUCCGUAUUGCGUUGGAAACUGUUUUUCUAGAGUACUGGAGAGGUGGGCGGAACUACAAGUGUAGAGGUGAAAUUCGUAGAUAUUUGUAGGAAUGCCGAUGGAGAAGUCAGCUCACUGGACAGAUACUGACGCUGAAGCGCGAAAGCGUGGGGAGCAAACAGGA